rnacentral:lncRNA from 1 species
UUGCUAUCCUUCCAAAAGCGUCUGCUCGAUGUAGAACUGCCUCAAUCGGCUGGUCGGUGAGCAGUGUUAUGGUGUGCCCUUGAAAGUAAAGUCGGAGCCUUCGGGCUGCAAUCAACAGGGCGUAAGUUAGUUUUUCUAACUUAGUGUACCUGGUUUUUGCGUCUCUCAAUACUCGACUUAUGUAGUAGAUCGAUCGUUGAAUUUUUGCUUCUUCCUUAACCAGAACUACUGCGAGAGCCACAGGGG